GGACUCGAAGCACUGAGUGAGGGCGUUCUUAAGCUACAUUCUCAAGCUGCAGGUCCUGCUCCAUCCUCUGUCCCCGCCCACCUGUACUACCCUGAGUUCACAGGUGGACUCUUCCUAGUUCAGUCAUGAUCUGUGUUUCAGCUGCAAUCGCCCGAUGAAGAUAGAAUUGAGCUGAUGUGGCUCCAGUGAAUCCAGCAGCAUGGAUCCUUGUGAGGACAAAAAGGACGGAGUGGAAGAUGACAACCAGAGCAAAACUCUGAGGUGGAAGAACAAACCUGGAUCUAAAUUGGAACCAGGCACGGUGUCCUCCAAGAGCAAAAAAAGAGGUUUGAUUCCUAACUUCAAAGACAACAGUUCAGGACCGGAACAGUAAGUGUUUGUCAGAGUUAAAGGAGGCUGGAUUCUAGUUCAGAUGAUCAACAGUUUUCAGAUGAAGGACUUGAGGUCUGGUUCAGUUCUGGAUCUCUCUGAUCAGACUCACUUGGAGCAUCAUGUGUGUGAUGAGAUCUUUUCUGUUGAGUCUUCUGACAGUCUCUGAGAGCAGAGAUGUUGGAGAAGAAAACAUGUUGACUCAGAUCUUUUCAGGAGUGUCAUGAUUUAAAAUACUG